UAUGGGAUUACCCAUCUCAUACUCAGAGUUUGAAAAAUUCAGCACUCUGCUGGAAUGGGAAGUGGCACAGGAGUCUUAUUUAUAGUAGGAGAUACACUCAUUGGAUGAGUUUUUGUGUGCAGGCAGGGCAGAUUCUGAGGAGCAAGUCAGCCCAGGGCCACAAUCCAGGCUUUGACCAGUAGGUUUGGGGUACCUCUGGCUGAUAGAAAAAAACCAGAGGGACUCCUCUCCUUAACUGACCCAUCUGGGGAUUGAGUUAGAUAUGCCGGCUGGUAUAUCUAGACUCCCCGAGGAUAAACUGGGGGAACUUCUGGAAUUGAUCAUCAAGGCUAGAGCAGCCAGGAAUUUUAUACUGCGGGAGCUGCAAUCUAUUAUCGGACUUUUAAAUGUUGCAUGUCAAUUGGUGGCACCAGGAUGGAUAUUUUGCACUGGAGUGUCAGCUGCCGCCUUGGGAAUAUCGAAGCCCAUCCAUUUUCAAAUUGUUAAUAAAGAGAUGGAGGAGGGUUUAGGAAUCAUGGAACAGUUUCUGAAUCCUUUUAAUGGAGUGUCUUUUUGGAGGGAGGAAUGGAUGAUAAAGGCAGAGUUAAAGAUUCAUUACAAUGCAUUGGGAGGAAUAGGUUUUGGGUAUUUUACCAAGGCAGGUGCUGUGCCGAGAAAUGGCCCUUAGAUUGGAUACUAAAAGGUAUAAUAAAGGAUAUAACAUUUCUGGAAUUCUUUCCCAUUUUGAUAGCAGAGACUAUUUGGGGAAUGGAUUUUGCAAACAAAAGCAAGGGUUUUUGGACUGACAACAUAGCCGUAGCACAUUUUAUCAAUUGCCAGUCCUCCAGAUUGCCAGGGUCAUAAAGUUGGUAAGUGAAUUUUUACUACAGCGUUUAACGCUUAAAAUGUUUCUCUGCCAGAUAUGUACCUGGGAUUGAUAAUAGUGUAGCUGAUGCAUUCUCUCAAUUUUAAUUGGACAAAUUUUGGGAUCUGGCACCAGGAACCAACGAGGAACCAGAAUGGAUACCCAUAACGCUCUGGGACUAGGGCACAUGAAGGAUCUCAGGGUAUUAAAGAGAUCAGGAACAGCAUGAACAUCUAGGUCUAUGACAGGAGGUUCAAUGAUUUUGUGCAUUUUCAGAGAUGGGGCUCUGUGGAUGACCUGACCUAUUCCAGAAGACCAGAUACUUCAAUACACAGGGUUACUGGCUCUCUGUGGGCUGGCAUCAUCUGCCAUUUCUGGUCACCUGUUGGGCGUUACAUUUGUCAGUCAAAUGAGAGGUUACCCUACUUCUUGUAGCAGAUUCUGAGUCUGGAGGUUUUUAGUAGGUUUUGGGACAGAGGCCCUAGCAAGGAUCCCCAUUGUCUCAUCACUGUUCAGACACUUAGGGCUUUGAUGCAAGUUCUCUACCAAAAACUCAGAAGCGGACAGGAGGUGGCCUUGUUCAAAACUGCAGUCCAGGUUGUGUUUUUUGGAGCUUUCAGAGUCAGCGAACCAGUGCCUGUGGGAGCGAGGGAUACACCAGGAAGGGCUUUGGAGUGGUGACAGUGAGAUUUACAAUGGAAGGAGUGAAAGGGGCUUACAAAGUUGGAGCUACCAGUGGAUGAAUUUAAUUCCUGCUCAUUCCAAAUCGGGGCUACGAAAGCUUCGGCCCAACUUGGGUGAGGGGCCACAGUGAUGCAGGCAAUUGGGUGAUGGCAUUCAAAUGAAUACAGGAGACCCCAGCCCCCCCUCAAUGAUGGCGAAGAAGGGCAGCACUGCCCCGGCAGCAGGAUGGCUGGGACCUAGCUGGAGAUUAUGUGGAAGUGAUGAUGAUCUGCACUGUACAAUUUAUUGCUGGCUACUCCCAGAUAUUUUAAGUGAAUAAAUUUGUGGCCUAAUUAAACCACAUCCAUUAC